rnacentral:rRNA from 1 species
CGCGCAGGCGGUCGAAUAAGUCGAAUGUGAAAGCCCCCGGCUCAACUGGGGAGGGUCAUUCGAUACUGUCCGACUUGAAGGCAGGAGAGAGAAGCAGAAUUCCCGGUGUAGUGGUGAAAUGCGUAGAUAUCGGGAGGAAUACCAGUGGCGAAGGCGGCUUCUUGGCCUGUUCUUGACGCUGAGGCGCGAAAGCUGGGGAGCAAACG